UCCCUCCCUCCUUCCUUUAUGCAAUCCAGUUUACACAAGGAAGACACAGCAACACUCCUGGGAAGCUCUCUCUCUUGAAAACCAUGGUGUGACUCAUAAUUGGUGUCUGCCGCUAUGUGGCCAGGAAAAUAGCGGCAUCGCUGCGGAAUGAGGAACUGAGGGAGCCGGUGCUGAUGUGCAAUAACCAGGUCUGCCAAGUCGGCAACCCAAAAAAGACAGCAAUGCAGCCUCCCACCACUUGCUCAGUAGCUCAGGGCUGCUCCACUUCUGUUGUCCCAUCCGAUGUUGGUACCCAGAAGCCUCAUUCCUAAUGGAACUGAAUAAGGGACGGCGAAGAGGGAAAUGACGGCUCAUUGGACCACUCCUGCCCCUGCAGGAAUCGAAUGGGCCCGAGAAGCCUUUAGCCUCUCUUAACCUCACUGUUUCAGCACAAACACCAUUUAAAUAAAGAACGUCUCUGAGUUCAAAGUCA